UGGUGGAGUGAUUUGUCUGGUUAAUCCCGUUAACGAACGAGACCUUAACCUGCUAAAUAGUUACGCAUAACUUCGGUUAUGCGGGCAACUUCUUAGAGGGACUUUGUAUGUCUAAUGCAAGGAAGUUUGAGGCAAUAACA
rnacentral:rRNA from 1 species